CCGGCUGUUCCAUCAGCCGUAACCUACGGGUGCAUGCAGGGCUGGUAACGACUCUGUGUGAAGCCGCCCGGACAACGUAACCUGCCCGUGAGGGCGGCAACGCUCUCGUGAGAGAGCGUGGUUCUCUGCCAGCAUCAAGGCGGAGGUGGUG
rnacentral:ncRNA from 1 species